GUGGGGAAUAUUGGUCAAUGGGCGGAAGCCUGAACCAGCCAUGCCGCGUGCAGGACGACGGCCCUACGGGUUGUAAACUGCUUUUGCCCGGGAAUAACCCCCCGCUCUUGAGCGGGGCUGAACGUACCGGGAGAAUAAGGAUCGGCUAACUCCGUGCCAGCAGCCGCGGUAAUACGGAGGAUCCGAGCGUUAUCCGGAUUUAUUGGGUUUAAAGGGUGCGUAGGCGGCCCGUUAAGUCAGGGGUGAAAUACGGCAGCUCAACUGUCGCAGUGCCCUUGAUACUGACGGGCUUGAAUACCGGUGAAGGCGGCGGAAUGAGACAAGUAGCGGUGAAAUGCAUAGAUAUGUCUCAGAACCCCGAUUGCGAAGGCAGCUGCCUAACCGGCGAUUGACGCUGAUGCACGAAAGCGUGGGGAUCGAACAGGAUUAGAUACCCCGGUAGUCC
rnacentral:rRNA from 1 species